rnacentral:misc_RNA from 1 species
GAAGGAAUUACUCUACCAAAGUCUUUCGAUCAGCAUUUUUAAAGUCAUCAUUUUACAUUAUUUGUAUUUUAAGCAUAUUGAAGUAAAUGUUACAUUUUAUUUCUUUAUUGAUUACUUGUUAAAUAACAAGUAACACAUGUUUUGUAAACUUUGUUGUUGUCAUCAUUUGCAUGCGAGAUGACCUUGAGGUUGUCAUUAAAUGAUUUUA